GAUCAAUGAUGAAAAUAGCCAAAUCUGAGCAUCAGAAGACCUUUCGGUCAGCUUGGUGCAUGAUCUCUAUAGUUCUGAGA
ensembl:snoRNA Gm24339 small nucleolar RNA U2-19